rnacentral:rRNA from 1 species
CUGAAGAGUUUGAUCCUGGCUCAGAUUGAACGCUGGCGGCAUGCCUUACACAUGCAAGUCGAACGGUAACAGGGAGCUUGCUCCGCUGACGAGUGGCGAACGGGUGAGUAAUACAUCGGAACGUGCCCAGUAAUGGGGGAUAGCUCGGCGAAAGCCGGAUUAAUACCGCAUACGCCCUGAGGGGGAAAGUGGGGGACCGCAAGGCCUCACGUUAUUGGAGCGGCCGAUGGCUGAUUAGCUAGUUGGUAGGGUAAAGGCCUACCAAGGCGACGAUCAGUAGCUGGUCUGAGAGGACGAUCAGCCACACUGGGACUGAGACACGGCCCAGACUCCUA